CAAAUUCUCAUAUUCCAUCGUUUCAUCUCCAUCUUCUCACGAUCAAUUUUUCAGAAAAUAGGGUAGAAUCAAAUUCAGUACUUCUUCAAUCCACCAAAUCUUGAAGAGAAAAUUAAAAAAUCCAAAAAGCAGAGAAGUUCCGAUUAGUCGAAUCAAUUGGGUUUAUCUAUGGAGAUGAUGGUGCUAUCAAUCGGAUGAUUCAGACAUUGUUUUACGUUUUUUGGCGGACGAGUUAUUGAUAAGAGAAGAUAAGUUUUAGCAGAGGAAAAAUUGAGGCACGGGAGCGACAUCCAUUGGAGAAGGUUUGAAAGUAAAGAUCCAUUGGAGAAGGUUUGAAAGUAAAGAGAAAGGAGAAAGUAAAGAAGGCUUUGUUUCAGGAGGCCCAAAAUAGCCCAUUGGUAUGUGAGGGAAGGUGUAAUAUCUAUUCGAUAUCCAAUUCAGAAUUUUCGGGUAAUUUAUAAUUUAAAAUCCGAUCCAAUAGGUUUGAAAGUCACCUUUAACCUUAAUGAAUUGUCUUAAAGACAAAAUUCGAGAGGGGCAUUUUCGGAUAAUGAGAAAGUUGUACUUCUCUUUUACUAAUAUAGGGAUAGGGAUAGUUAGAACUGAACUGUAAUGAUAUAUAAUAUUCCAUGUCAUAUUAGCAAACCAUAUGAUACUCCACG